rnacentral:rRNA from 1 species
ACACUAACUGGAGGACCGAACCGACUAAUGUUGAAAAAUUAGCGGAUGACUUGUGGCUGGGGGUGAAAGGCCAAUCAAACCGGGAGAUAGCUGGUUCUCCCCGAAAGCUAUUUAGGUAGCGCCUCGUGAACUCAUCUUCGGGGGUAGAGCACUGUUUCGGCUAGGGGGUCAUCCCGACUUACCAACCCGAUGCAAACUACGAAUACCGAAGAAUGUUAUCACGGGAGACACACGGCGGGUGCUAACGUCCGUCGUGAAGAGGGAAACAACCCAGACCGCCAGCUAAGGUCCCAAAGUCAUGGUUAAGUGGGAAACGAUGUGGGAAGGCACAGACAGCCAGGAUGUUGGCUUAGAAGCAGCCAUCAUUUAAAGAAAGCGUAAUAGCUCACUGGUCGAGUCGGCCUGCGCGGAAGAUGUAACGGGGCUAAACCAUGCACCGAAGCUGCGGCAGCGACACUAUGUGUUGUUGGGUAGGGGAGCGUUCUGUAAGCCUGCGAAGGUGUGCUGUGAGGCAUGCUGGAGGUAUCAGAAGUGCGAAUGCUGACAUAAGUAACGAUAAAGCGGGUGAAAAGCCCGCUCGCCGGAAGACCAAGGGUUCCUGUCCAACGUUAAUCGGGGCAGGGUGAGUCGACCCCUAAGGCGAGGCCGAAAGGCGUAGUCGAUGGGAAACAGGUUAAUAUUCCUGUACUUGGUGUUACUGCGAAGGGGGGACGGAGAAGGCUAUGUUAGCCGGGCGACGGUUGUCCCGGUUUAAGCAUGUAGGCUGGUUAUCCAGGCAAAUCCGGAUAAUCAAGGCUGAGGUGUGAUGACGAGGCACUACGGUGCUGAAGUAACAAAUGCCCUGCUUCCAGGAAAAGCCUCUAAGCAUCAGGUAACAUCAAAUCGUACCCCAAACCGACACAGGUGGUCAGGUAGAGAAUACCAAGGCGCUUGAGAGAACUCGGGUGAAGGAACUAGGCAAAAUGGUGCCGUAACUUCGGGAGAAGGCACGCUGGUGUGUAGGUGAAGUCCCUGCGGAUGGAGCUGAGACCAGUCGAAGAUACCAGCUGGCUGCAACUGUUUAUUAAAAACACAGCACUGUGCAAACACGAAAGUGGACGUAUACGGUGUGACGCCUGCCCGGUGCCGGAAGGUUAAUUGAUGGGGUUAUCCGUAAGGAGAAGCUCUUGAUCGAAGCCCCGGUAAACGGCGGCCGUAACUAUAACGGUCCUAAGGUAGCGAAAUUCCUUGUCGGGUAAGUUCCGACCUGCACGAAUGGCGUAAUGAUGGCCAGGCUGUCUCCACCCGAGACUCAGUGAAAUUGAACUCGCUGUGAAGAUGCAGUGUACCCGCGGCAAGACGGAAAGACCCCGUGAACCUUUACUAUAGCUUGACACUGAACAUUGAGCCUUGAUGUGUAGGAUAGGUGGGAGGCUUUGAAGCGUGGACGCCAGUCUGCGUGGAGCCAACCUUGAAAUACCACCCUUUAAUGUUUGAUGUUCUAACGUUGGCCCCUUACCGGGGUUGCGGACAGUGUCUGGUGGGUAGUUUGACUGGGGCGGUCUCCUCCCAAAGCGUAACGGAGGAGCACGAAGGUUAGCUAAUCCUGGUCGGACAUCAGGAGGUUAGUGCAAUGGCAUAAGCUAGCUUGACUGCGAGCGUGACGGCGCGAGCAGGUGCGAAAGCAGGUCAUAGUGAUCCGGUGGUUCUGAAUGGAAGGGCCAUCGCUCAACGGAUAAAAGGUACUCCGGGGAUAACAGGCUGAUACCGCCCAAGAGUUCAUAUCGACGGCGGUGUUUGGCACCUCGAUGUCGGCUCAUCACAUCCUGGGGCUGAAGUAGGUCCCAAGGGUAUGGCUGUUCGCCAUUUAAAGUGGUACGCGAGCUGGGUUUAGAACGUCGUGAGACAGUUCGGUCCCUAUCUGCCGUGGGCGCUGGAGAAUUGAGGGGGGCUGCUCCUAGUACGAGAGGACCGGAGUGGACGCAUCACUGGUGUUCGGGUUGUCAUGCCAAUGGCACUGCCCGGUAGCUAAAUGCGGAAGAGAUAAGUGCUGAAAGCAUCUAAGCACGAAACUUGCCCCGAGAUGAGUUCUCCCUGAGACUAUAAGUCUCCUGAAGGAACGUUAAAGACGAUGACGUUGAUAGGCCGGGUGUGUAAGCGCAGCGAUGCGUUGAGCUAACCGGUACUAAUGAACCGUGAGGCUUAACCUUACAACGCCGAAG